CAGUAGCCGCGGGAACACGAAGGGUGCAAGCGUUAAUUGGAAUUACUGGGCGUAAAGCGCGCGUAGGUGGUUUGGUAAGAUGGAUGUGAAAUCCCCGGGCUCAACCUGGGAACUGCAUCCAUAACUGCCUGACUAGAGUACGGUAGAGGGUGGUGGAAUUUCCUGUGUAGCGGUGAAAUGCGUAGAUAUAGGAAGGAACACCAGUGGCGAAGGCGACCACCUGGACUGAUACUGACACUGAGGUGCGAAAGCGUGGGGAGCAAACAGGAUUAGAUACCCCAGUAGUCCCUGUCUCUUAUAC
rnacentral:rRNA from 1 species